rnacentral:misc_RNA from 1 species
GAUGAAGAACGUAGCGAAAUGCGAUACUUGGUGUGAAUUGCAGAAUCCCGUGAACCAUCGAGUCUUUGAACGCAAGUUGCGCCCGAAGCCAUCAGGUUGAGGGCACGUCUGCCUGGGCGUCACAUAUCGUUGCUCGAUGCCUAUCGCAUUGCGAUAGGACUUAGGGCGAAUGAUGGCUUCCCGUGAGCGUUGUUGCCUCGCGGUUGGUUGAAAAUCGAGUCCUUGGUAGGGUGUGCCAUGAUAGAUGGUGGUCGAGUUAGCACGAGACCGAUUAUGUGCAUGCUCCCCAAAAUAUGGCCUCUGUGACCCACACGCGUCUUUUGACGCUCAUGAUGAGACCUCAGGUCAGGCGGGGCUACCCGCUGAAUUUAAGCAUAUCAAUAAGCGGAGGA